UACAGAGGUCUCAAGCGUUGUUCGGAUUCAUUGGGCGUAAAGGGUGCGUAGGCGGCGCGGUAAGUCGGGUGUGAAAUCUCGGAGCUUAACUCCGAAACUGCAUUCGAUACUGCCGUGCUUGAGGACUGGAGAGGAGACUGGAAUUUACGGUGUAGCGGUGAAAUGCGUAGAUAUCGGGAGGAACACCGGUGGCGAAGGCGGGUCUCUGGACAGUUCCUGACGCUGAGGCACGAAGGUCAGGGGAGCAAACGGG
rnacentral:rRNA from 1 species